UGGGGAAUUUUGGACAAUGGGCGCAAGCCUGAUCCAGCCAUGCCGCGUGAGUGAAGAAGGCCUUCGGGUUGUAAAGCUCUUUCAGACGGAAAGAAAUCUCUCAGGAUAAUACCUUGGGAGGAUGACGGUACUGUAAGAAGAAGCACCGGCUAACUACGUGCCAGCAGCCGCGGUAAUACGUAGGGUGCGAGCGUUAAUCGGAAUUACUGGGCGUAAAGCGUGCGCAGGCGGUGAUGUAAGACAGAUGUGAAAUCCCCGGGCUCAACCUGGGAACUGCGUUUGUGACUGCCUCACUCGAGUACGGCAGAGGGAAGUUGAAUUCCGCGUGUAGCGGUGAAAUGCGUAGAGAUGCGGAGGAACACCGAUGGCGAAGGCAGUCUCCUGGGCCAGUACUGACGCUCAGGCACGAAAGCGUGGGGAGCAAACA
rnacentral:rRNA from 1 species